CUGAUACUUACCUAAGGCUUGUCUCUUCUGGUACGAUACAGUAUUUGCAUGAGCUGGCACCACGUUUUUAUUAUCCAACUCAUCAUCUCCAUCUCCUUCUUCAUUAUCUGUAUCCCAAUCGGCAGUAGCACAAUAUGUCGCCCGGGCUGAAGCAAUCUGGGCUGUAGGAGUUUCAUCAUCCAAACCAUCAAAGGUCUCCAUAGUAGCAGAAGCAUGCCACUUAGCUGCAAGAGAUGUAACACCCUGCGCUUUGUGUGUGAUCUUAGCUGCGCUACGCAAGCAUAUAAAAAGCCCUGUUACCAAGGUGAUGGAGCAUAACUGCAACAAAGUUAUACAAGAUUAGUUAGUCAGGCAAUGUAUACAGUAGAGGUGGAAAUAUUUUGUAUGGACUGGCAUAAUCAUAGUUAGGUUACUCAAUAUAAUGUUAUGAGAUUAGUUAGUCGAGUAAUGAUAACUGCAAUAAAAUGAUAUGAGAAGUCAGUCAAGCAACAUAUAUAUGGCAUUAUCAUCAUAAAGUUACUCAUUACAAAGAAUUAAAGCAUGUUUUGGAGACAGUAGUACUGAACAUGCUUGGUAUUAUUAGAUCAUCAUUCAAUGGACAAGUAUUUUGACUAACUUGCUCGAGGGUCAGAGACUCCUUUUACAAUGUUUUCACACAUCAAAAAACCUCUCUAACACAGUUAUUGAGGAUAAACAAACUCAAAUCGUUGUACUUAACUCGAACAAGGCUCAAAGUGAAAUAAUAAGCAUCCUGGUGCAUCGAGGAGCUAGUACAGUGUGGGAAAUGAGUGGGAAUGACAGGUGACUUCCAUCGCUGCCUUUCAGCCUUUCUUAUCCUUUUGCAGCGAUUCAAGUAAAAAAGAGAAAGCUGAAUUGCAACAAUGGUAUGGAGCCACGUCCUAUCCAGCAUAAACCCGUACACUGUAAUUCCUGCUCUGUUGUGCUCAAAAUAUGUCACUGCACAAAUUUGCAACCAUAAUCAGCCGCAUGAGGUGCGUAUUUGAAGAUCUAUGACCAUUUUAACUUUUUAGAUUGCUGAUACUUACCUAAGGCUUGUCUCUUCUGGUACGAUACAGUAUUUGCAUGAGCUGGCACCACGUUUUUAUUAUCCAACUCAUCAUCUCCAUCUCCUUCUUCAUUAUCUGUAUCCCAAUCGGCAGUAGCACAAUAUGUCGCCCGGGCUGAAGCAAUCUGGGCUGUAGGAGUUUCAUCAUCCAAACCAUCAAAGGUCUCCAUAGUAGCAGAAGCAUGCCACUUAGCUGCAAGAGAUGUAACACCCUGCGCUUUGUGUGUGAUCUUAGCUGCGCUACGCAAGCAUAUAAAAAGCCCUGUUACCAAGGUGAUGGAGCAUAACUGCAACAAAGUUAUACAAGAUUAGUUAGUCAGGCAAUGUAUACAGUAGAGGUGGAAAUAUUUUGUAUGGACUGGCAUAAUCAUAGUUAGGUUACUCAAUAUAAUGUUAUGAGAUUAGUUAGUCGAGUAAUGAUAACUGCAAUAAAAUGAUAUGAGAAGUCAGUCAAGCAACAUAUAUAUGGCAUUAUCAUCAUAAAGUUACUCAUUACAAAGAAUUAAAGCAUGUUUUGGAGACAGUAGUACUGAACAUGCUUGGUAUUAUUAGAUCAUCAUUCAAUGGACAAGUAUUUUGACUAACUUGCUCGAGGGUCAGAGACUCCUUUUACAAUGUUUUCACACAUCAAAAAAUCUCUCUAACACGGUUAUUGAGGAUAAACAAACUCAAAUCCUUGUACUUAACUCGAACAAGGCUCAAAGUGAAAUAAUAAGCAUCCUGGUGCAUCGAGGAGCUAGUACAGUGUGGGAAAUGAGUGGGAAUGACAGGUGACUUCCAUCGCUGCCUUUCAGCCUUUCUUAUCCUUUUGCAGCGAUUCAAGUAAAAAUGGUGUCACAAUUGUCAUCAUCAAAUAUUAACACGUAAAACUAGUUUUUACAUCCAUGAAUAUGCCUCAAAUCUAGUAUAAUGUUUGAUGUGUUACUUGUCCAAUUGGCACAAGAUUCAACUUAAGUCUUACUUAAGUGAAAGGUCAGAGAUUCGAAUCCUGGGAAUGGGAUAGAAAUCUGUGAAGGGUAAGAUGAGCUUAGGCUCUUCUAGAGUGGACAAUACGUAAAUUAACUACUUGGGCAUAGAGGCAGAAUUGUUACACAAAGUAUACAACAGCGGUGGAAAUAUUUUAUAUGGAUUGGCAUAAUUAUAUUUAGGUUACUCAAUAAAAAGACACGAGAUUAGUUAGUCGAGCAAUGUAUAUAGGGCAAUCAUCAUAAGGUUACUCAUUACGAAGAAUUAAAACAUGUUUUGGAGACAAUAGUACUGAGCAUGCAUGGUAUUACAUAUUACAGUAUUAGACUAUCAUUAGGUGGACAAGUAUUUCGACUAACUUGCUUGAGUGCCAGGGACUCCUUUUACAAUGUUUUCACGCAUCAAAAAACCUCUAUAAGACAGUUAUUAAGGAUAAACAAACUAAAAAGCCUAGUGACCGAUAAACUUUGUGCUUAAGUUGAUCAAGGCUCAAAGUGAAAUAAUAAGCAUCCCAGCGCAUCGAGGGGUUAGUACGGUGUGGGAAAUGGGUGGGAAUGACAGGUUACUUCAUCAUUGCCUUUCAGCCUCUUAUCCUUUUGCAGCGAUUCAAGUGAAAAUGGAGUCAGAAUUGUCAUCAUCAAAUAUUAACACAUAAAACUAAUAUUUACAUACAUGAAAAUGCCUCAUAUCUAGUAUGACGGUGAUUGUAGUGCAAAUAAGAGCCAGAAGAUAAUAAAAGAUAUUGAAAAAUUCGAUUCUGCAUUUAUUCAGCAGCUACUUAUUAAUCAACAGGAACAAAGCUUGUGAUACAUAAAGGAAUGGAUGUUAAUUACCGC
rnacentral:lncRNA from 1 species